rnacentral:rRNA from 1 species
UGGCGGGGUGCUUACACAUGCAAGUCGAACGAUGAUCCGGUGCUUGCGCCGGGGAUUAGUGGCGAACGGGUGAGUAACACGUGAGUAACCUGCCCUUGACUCUGGGAUAAGCCUGGGAAACUGGGUCUAAUACCGGAUAUGACUCCUCAUCGCAUGGUGGGGGGUGGAAAGCUUUUUGUGGUUUUGGAUGGACUCGCGGCCUAUCAGCUUGUUGGUGGGGUAAUGGCCUACCAAGGCGACGACGGGUAGCCGGCCUGAGAGGGUGACCGGCCACACUGGGACUGAGACACGGCCCAGACUCCUACGGGAGGCAGCAGUGGGGAAUAUUGCACAAUGGGCGAAAGCCUGAUGCAGCGACGCCGCGUGAGGGAUGACGGCCUUCGGGUUGUAAACCUCUUUCAGUAGGGAAGAAGCCCUCUUUGGGGGUGACGGUACUUGCAGAAGAAGCGCCGGCUAACUACGUGCCAGCAGCCGCGGUAAUACGUAGGGCGCAAGCGUUAUCCGGAAUUAUUGGGCGUAAAGAGCUCGUAGGCGGUUUGUCGCGUCUGCUGUGAAAGACCGGGGCUCAACUCCGGUUCUGCAGUGGGUACGGGCAGACUAGAGUGCAGUAGGGGAGACUGGAAUUCCCUGGUGUAGCGGUGAAAUGCGCACAUAUCAGGAGGAACACCGAUGGCGAAGGCAGGUCUCUGGGCUGUAACUGACGCUGAGGAGCGAAAGCAUGGGGAGCGAACAGGAUUAU